rnacentral:lncRNA from 1 species
CAUCGCUGUGAUAGUUGUGAGCCAAGGUAAGUUUGGUGCUACCUCUUUUCUUUUGUUUGUUAUUUUCUUUGAAUAAGAAGAUUGAGAGUUUCUGAAUAUUGUGAAGUGAAUUAUGGAAUGGAAAUGUGAUUGGUAUUAUUUGAGAAGAAGAAAGAUUGAAUGCUGAAAUCUGAUUGUAGUUCAGCAGAGAGAAUGAGUCUGUGUUUGUGUGAAACACUGUAAUGUGAAUGGCAGUUCUAUGUGAAGAAUUCCAGUGAUUGGAAUGAGGGUAAUUGUGUGCUGAAAACUAUGAGGGCGCAGUAUUACAGUUGGAGAUUAUGAAGGUGAAUAUAUUGAUGGAAAUAGCAGUUAUUGGUAUGACUGAAUUGCUAUAAAGAAGAUACCGAUAAGGUGAAGGAGGAGAUUAUAGUUUCUUUAUGUGUUCAGAUAUUAGAAAUAAAGACGAUACAUUCAGGAGGUAAUUGAUUGUGUGACCUUAAUGUAAACGCUUAAGCAACUAGUCAUUCCUUGUGUUUGAAUCUCCCUAUAUGGGUUUAUUCU